UGGGCUAAGCCAGACCAGAAAGGGCCCCGUGCGCAACGUGCUUCACAAUCUCUCAGGGAAAGCGGCUAACGUGGCGCUACUCCGCCUCCCCUGUUCCUUACCCUUGGGGCGGCCGCCAUGUUUCCUGAACACAAAAUGGCGACACGUGAGGAAGACAAACAUAAAGAUGAAGUGCUUAAUUCAAGGUCACACAAUGUCGGGGAUGGACCUCCAGAUUUCCUUACUGGUGAGACGUGGUCUUGUAACACAGUGGUUAAGAAUGUGACUUUGGAGCCAGCCUGCUAGGGGCUGAAUUCUGACUCAGCCAUUUACUAACUGUGUGACCUUAGGUGGAGUCUCACUCUGUAGCCCAAGCUGGAGUGGCGUGAUCUCGACUCACUGCAACCUCCGCCUCCUGGGAUCAAGUGAUUCUCGUGCCUCAGCCUCCUGAGUAGCCGGGACUACAGAGAUGAGAUUUCACCAUAUUACCCAGGCUGUUCUUGAACUCCUAGGCUCAAGUGAUUUGUCUGCCUCGGCCUCCCAAAGUGUUGGGAUUACAGGUCACAGAAUUUUCCACACUCCUUGACAGAGGUGCUUAACCCUUAUCCAUCAGCAUUCUCAGACAGCACCUCCGGUUAGGGACAGUAUCUGACCGUCCGACAUCCCUGCAGCCCCCAUGUGUCACACAGACUCAGCCUCAGGUAGAUGGUUUCCGUAGAUGGUGGCUUUCUUUGGACCCUUGACAUCAACCAGUUACUAUUUGGGGACCAGAUGUGCAGAGGUAAUGAAUACCAGGGAAUCAGGAAACCACUGGAUCAGUUCUUUGAGCCACAGAACAACACUCAUCCCAGCAGCUGGGAAGCUAUCUGCAAAAGUCCAUCUGCAGAAAGGGCUUCCUGGUCUUGCGUGUGGCUGGGCCAUUUCUCUGGAUGCAGGUUUUUCAUUAUACAGUCUUCUCAAAGAACCACCUGCUCUCAACACC
rnacentral:lncRNA from 10 species